UACGUAGGUGACCAGCGUUGUCCGGAUUUAUUGGGCGUAAAGAGCGCGUAGGCGGCCGAGUAAGUCCGACGUGAAAUCUGGAGGCUCAACCUCCAGCGGUCGUUGGAAACUACUCGGCUAGAGUCCGGAAGAGGAGAGUGGAAUUCCUGGUGUAGCGGUGAAAUGCGCAGAUAUCAGGAAGAACACCGAUGGCGAAAGCAGCUCUCUGGGACGGUACUGACGCUGAGGCGCGAAAGCGUGGGGAGCGAACAGG
rnacentral:rRNA from 1 species